rnacentral:lncRNA from 1 species
GCAGCAGCAGUAGCAGUAGCAGUAGCAAUAGCAAUAUUAGUAGCAGCAGUAGUAGUAGUGGUAGUAGCAGUAGCAGUAAUAGUAGAAAUAAAAGUGGUAGCAGUAGUACCUGCUGUAGUAGUAGUUGCAGUAAUAACAACAAUAAAAGUAAUAGUAGUAAUAGAAGUAGUAGUAAUAUUCGUAGUAGUAGUAGCAUUAGUAAUAUUA